UAGAAGAAACUUGGAGAAGGCAGUUUGUUCUAGACGGGAGAACAGGGAAACUGUCCCAGCUCCUGAGAGCUUCACCCAAGGAGAUCACACGGUUGGGGGGUCCUUCUCCCCUUCCCUGUGCACAACCCUCCCCCACCCCUGGCUGUGAAAGCCAGAAGCCAAAGCCCUGGCAGGUAGUCCAGCCCCCGAGGAAGAGGGAUAAAGGGCGGGAAAAAGGGUGCCAAGCACCGCAGAGAUGGGAGCGGAGGCGACGCCAGGAGGAAAAUGGAUUGCACAGACUCUGACAGGGUGCGAGGGGAGCGGGUGGUGUGGUCUUUAUCAAGAACGAGCCUCGCCAGGCGGCAGCAGCCCCAGCGGGCGGGGGGCCCAGAACAUGAGAACACACUUGGACUUCAGCAGACCAGCUCGGCCUCGAGGAGAAGCAGCCGUUUGGCAGAAGCCGCAGAAGCUCCUCCUUCUUGUGGUAGUCCUUGGCACGGGCAUCCGAGAAGACGUAGAUGAAGGAGCCGGGGUUGGCCACCUCCACGGCAGCCCUGAUGGCCCCCACGCUCAUCUCGGGACAGUCACCGCCCCCCUGCAGGAUGGGGUUGCCCUGGAAUGAAUCCCAAAGCAGCACACACUCCCAGCCUCCUCGACCACGGACAGGACCUCUACUCCGUGGGCAGCUUUGCCCACCUGGGGCCAGCAACAGGGAGGGCCAACCACGCAUCUGUCUACCUGCCAACGCUGGAGAAGCCGGCCUGCGCCCAGUUCUGCUCACGUGGAGAGCGGACACCGACUGCUGCAGCCCGGGGGGCCCAGCUCUGACUCCGGCUGGCCCCCGCCCUCCCCCACCAUGGCCUGUGACAUCAGCCACCCCUCGGUUCCCGGUGCUGGACCAGGGCUCGGCUGACCACAUGCUCUCCCGUUUGUGGCAACGUCAGAACAAUAAAGUUGGUGACCUGAGUUAUCACAAAUAAAGCGGCAGUUGGAAGGGUGGCCUUUGCUGCUACGACCUAUGGUCUUCCUCUCUGGGGGAUUCAGGGUGGCUCUCAUUCGUGGAGGGACAAGAAUUGUUCGGAGGAGUUGAUUCUGUUCACGGUUCUACCUGGUAAGAUAAAAAG